rfam:Polynucleobacter sp. VK13 genome assembly, contig: Ga0139086_102
AAUAUGGCUUUAUUAAAAGCCAUUGAACUAGAUACGAUAAAUCCAGU